rnacentral:lncRNA from 1 species
GGAAGUAGAUUGUACAUGAAAUUAUAUAGGUGACGUCACGAGCAGUAUGCCUAUGCUCUUUUCGCUCCAGCGUAGCCUCUAGUGGCCUUGUUUCUCGAAGUUUUGGGUUCUUGGUCAAGUUACUACUUUGCUGAGUUGAAGUAAGUAUUAUGAAGUCUCUAUUAGCUCGAAUGACCUGCUGAAUCCUUGUUUACUUGAUCACUGGAUCUCGUUGUGCUGUAAAACAUGGCGGCCUAUAGUUCUGACUUUAAACACCUUUUCUCCAAUCUGGGGCAGAGUUAGGUAUGAAUAUGAAACCAAUGAAGCUAAAUUGCCUGUUGUUUCUUGUACUGACUCUUUUCAGAAGAAAUAUAGAUUUUUAUGAAGUUUUUUAUAAUUAUUGAUUUUGCCACCAUUUUGGUUGCUAAGCGUAUCUAGGAAAAACGUCA